rnacentral:rRNA from 1 species
UACGUAGGUCCCGAGCGUUGUCCGGAUUUAUUGGGCGUAAAGCGAGCGCAGGUGGUUUAUUAAGUCUGGUGUAAAAGGCAGUGGCUCAACCAUUGUAUGCAUUGGAAACUGGUAGACUUGAGUGCAGGAGAGGAGAGUGGAAUUCCAUGUGUAGCGGUGAAAUGCGUAGAUAUAUGGAGGAACACCAGUGGCGAAAGCGGCUCUCUGGUCUGUAACUGACGCUGAGGUUCGAAAGCGUGGGUAGCAAAUAGG